rnacentral:rRNA from 1 species
AUGAAAUCGAAAAUAUUCCGAGAUGGCAAAUAUUCAGAGAUGACUAUGAAAACACCUCUCUGGAUCCUCGAAUUGAAAGAGAGAUUGAGAGGGAUCAAGAAUCCUAAUUCUCGCUAUUUGGAAUGGAUCCAAUUCUAUUUCAACAAUACCAUUAUAACUGUUACAGACCCACAAGGUCGGGUGGUUUUUUGGUCCUCGGCCGGUACUUGUGGAUUCAAAAGCUCAAGAAAAGCAUCACCCUAUGCUGGUCAAAGAACAGCAGUAGAUGCUAUUCGUACAGUAGGUUUGCAACGAGCAGAAGUUAUGGUAAAGGGCGCUCAUAUAUACAUAAAUGGCCGCACAGGAGGCAUCAUAGUACUUUCGGGCAAAAGUAUAAAUACAGCCUUGAUGAACUCAAUAAAACAUUGUUUUUACAAUGGGAAUACAUGUCACUCAAACAUAAUAUUCUUCGAGCACUGA